GUGACCGACGCGGCCUGACUCACACACAAAGACCUUCCUCCCUUCCUUGCAAAGCAUGUCACUCAGCAAGCCUUCAAAACAUUUCACGACACGAGCAGGGGCAGCUUGUUUAAAGAGGACAAACACACACAAUCACGGGAUUGCAGGUGAACUGGAGACUAUUCCUAUUUACGUGAGGCACACCCAGAACUGGUCACCAGCCAAUCUCAGGGCAAACAUGGAAAUAGUUACACCUAUGGAAAAAAUUAACAUCUUCGUUUAACCUAAAAUGCAUGUUUUUUUUUUUUUUUUAAAAGGUUGGAGGAAGACAAAACGCGGGCAAGCAAAAGGAGAACAUGUAAACCCCACAAAGGAAGCAUGGAUCUUAGAUUUCCACACCAAACCUGAGUCAAAACCCUGAGCACCCUGUGAAAGACUUCCCACAGCUGACUCAAAGCAAACAGCUGCUGUCGGAUAUCCUGGCCGCAUUGUCCUUUUCUCUACUUUUCGACACAAACAUGGGGUACAUAAAUCUACAUUUUGGCAA